rnacentral:rRNA from 1 species
UACGAAGGGGGCUAGCGUUGUUCGGAUUUACUGGGCGUAAAGAGCUCGUAGGCGGUUCGAUAAGUCGGACGUGAAAUCUCCACGCUCAACGUGGAGGGGCCGUUCGAUACUGUCGUGACUCGAGUCCGGUAGGGGAGUGUGGAAUUCCCGGUGUAGCGGUGAAAUGCGCAGAGAUCGGGAGGAACACCCGUAGCGAAGGCGGCACUCUGGGCCGGUACUGACGCUGAGGAGCGAAAGCGUGGGGAGCAAACAGG